AGCGAACGCUGGCGGCGUGCUUAACACAUGCAAGUCGAACGUGAAAUGUAGCAAUACAGAGUAAAGUGGCGUACGGGUGAGUAACACGUGGGUAAUCUACCAAAGAGCCUGGAAUAACCGACCGAAAGGUUGGCUAAUACUGGAUAGUUCAAAUGAAAUAUAAUGUUUCGAUUGGGAAAGGGAGCGAGCAAUCGCCUUCACUUUUUGAUGAGCCCGCGUCUGAUUAGCUAGUUGGUAGGGUAAUGGCCUACCAAGGCGACGAUCAGUAGCUGGUCUGGAAGGAUGAUCAGCCACACUGGAACUGAAACACGGUCCAGACUCCUACGGGAGGCAGCAGUGGGGAAUCUUGCGCAAGGGACGAAAGUCUGACGCAGCCACGCCGCGUGAGUGAAGAAGGCCUUCGGGUUGUAAAGCUCUGUCGGAAGGGACAAAAACGUUUAAGGUUAAUAGCCUUAGAUCUUGAUGGUACCUUCAAAGGAAGCACCGGCUAACUUCGUGCCAGCAGCCGCCGUAA
rnacentral:rRNA from 1 species